GUCCUCGGGGUGGAAAGUGCAGCGCCUGCCCGUGCGAGCCCCGCAGGAGCGGGGUCGAGCGCGGCGCGGGCUCUCCCGGACUGCUGGACAGCCGGGGUCCAGCCUGGGGGUUCAGUGGCGGCCGAGGAGGGAGGCGCUGGGGGUGCCGAGCCUCUGGAGGGCUCCUGAGCUGGGGGCUGGCAGAGUUGGGGCUCCCGCCCUGGAGUUGCGAGACCCUCCUUUGUCGAUCACACUGAGGUCUACUUCCUAGAAAAUUACUGGAAGGAACAUGAGAAAAUUCCCAUAGGACUGUGAAAGGGAAGAGGAACCAGCUGUCACCCUGAUGUCUGUGAUGUGUGCCAGGCUGGUCUUGAACUCCUGAGCUCAAGCGGUCUUCCUGCCUCAACCUUCCAAAGUGCUGGGAUUACAGGCGUGAGCCACCACACCCAGCUUAAGCUGUGUCUUGACAGAUGUGUACUGUGUUCAGUAGGUACAUAAGAGGAAAGGAUACUUCAGGCAGAGGAAACAGCAUCAACAAAAGCAUGGUAAGAUGGAACAACAGUUUGUUCAGGGAGCUGAAAAUACUUUAGCAUGACUAUAGGCUGGGAGUGGGAAGGGGCUGGAUAGAUAGGUAGGGUCCUGCGUGUGUGGGGCCUUAUAUGUCAUUCGAAGACGUCCAUAUUUUAAUCUGAAGGCAGUGGAGCUAUUGCAGUGUUUGUGAAAGGGGAGUGCUGUGAUGGAUUGAUGCUGUCAGUGAAGUCCGAGUGGAGGACACUUUGAGGCAGGUGGGAAUUGGAGACAGGGAGGCCAGGAAGGGAAAGACUAUAGUUAGUCUAUGGUGAUGAACAUGGAAAUGUCCUGUGACUCAUCAGAAUGAUAUUAAUAGCAGCUGACAUUCACAGAGCCCUCACUGAGUGGCCAGAUUCUGUGUGAGGUGCUUUUCAUUUAUUAUCUUAUUUAAC